GAUGAACGCUGGCGGCGUGCCUAAUACAUGCAAGUCGAGCGAACAGAUAAGGAGCUUGCUCCUUUGACGUUAGCGGCGGACGGGUGAGUAACACGUGGGUAACCUACCUAUAAGACUGGGAUAACUUCGGGAAACCGGAGCUAAUACCGGAUAAUAUUUCGAACCGCAUGGUUCGAUAGUGAAAGAUGGUUUUGCUAUCACUUAUAGAUGGACCCGCGCCGUAUUAGCUAGUUGGUAAGGUAACGGCUUACCAAGGCGACGAUACGUAGCCGACCUGAGAGGGUGAUCGGCCACACUGGAACUGAGACACGGUCCAGACUCCUACGGGAGGCAGCAGUAGGGAAUCUUCCGCAAUGGGCGAAAGCCUGACGGAGCAACGCCGCGUGAGUGAUGAAGGUCUUCGGAUCGUAAAACUCUGUUAUUAGGGAAGAACAUAAGUGUAAGUAACUGUGCACGUCUUGACGGUACCUAAUCAGAAAGCCACGGCUAACUACGUG
rnacentral:rRNA from 1 species